GUGUCAGCCGCCGCGGUAAAACGUAGGAGGCGAGCGUUAUCCGGAUUUACUGGGUGUAAAGCGCGUGCAGGCGGUUCGUUAAGUUGGAUGUGAAAGCUCCUGGCUCAACUGGGAGAGGUCGUUCAAAACUAGCGGACUGGAGAAUGGUAGGGGAAGGUGGAAUUCCGGGUGUAGUGGUGAAAUGCGUAGAUAUCCGGAGGAACACCAGUGGCGAAGGCGGCCUUCUAGACCAUAUCUGACGCUCAGACGCGAAAGCUAGGGUAGCAAACGGGAUUAGAUACCCGCGUAGUCC
rnacentral:rRNA from 1 species